UGCGCCUUGCCAGCCCGCUCAGAAACUUAAAGGAAUUGACGGGGGCCCGCACAAGCGGCGGAGCAUGUGGAUUAAUUCGAUGCAACGCGAAGAACCUUACCUGGGUUUGACAUACACCGGAAAACCGUAGAGAUACGGUCCCCCUUGUGGUCGGUGUACAGGUGGUGCAUGGCUGUCGUCAGCUCGUGUCGUGAGAUGUUGGGUUAAGUCCCGCAACGAGCGCAACCCUUGUCUUAUGUUGUCAGCACGUAAUGGUGGGGACUCGUAAGAGACUGCCGGGGUCAACUCGGAGGAAGGUGGGGACGACGUCAAGUCAUCAUGCCCCUUAUGUCCAGGGCUUCACACAUGCUACAAUGGCCAGUACAGAGGGCUGCGAGACCGUGAGGUGGAGCGAAUCCCUUAAAGCUGGUCUCAGUUCGGAUCGGGGUCUGCAACUCGACCCCGUGAAGUCGGAGUCGCUAGUAAUCGCAGAUCAGCAACGCUGCGGUGAAUACGUUCCCGGGCCUU
rnacentral:rRNA from 1 species